rnacentral:tRNA from 1 species
GAAGUUAGGAAAAAGAGAUUUCUAAUCUAUUUUAAAGCAAUAAAUUUGUUUGAACUUCU